GAAAGACCUUUUAUAACUAAACUAUUAUGUUGUUGCAGACAGUUUGAAACAUCCAAUUUGAAGACAUUGCAAUCUCCAAAAUCAACCUCUUUUCAGGAUGACCUUAAGGUUGGAGGAGACGGCAGAGAACGCAACUGAGCUUUAGUGUAAAGCCUUAGCAAAAUACUCAGGUGAGGGAGCAGCAUUAGAAUCAUCACAUUGGAAACUCCAACGACACUCACUAGUUGGAGAAUUUCAUUUGGUUAACACGAUUAAACAGGAAAUCUCAUGAGUUUCCUAUUUAACCGCGUUAGUCCCAUUGUUGUGAAUGGCUUGUUUGACUAUGGUAUGGAUUUUGACCUGCCUUCGUGGUAUGGACUUUGACCUGCCUUCGUGGUAUGAAUUUUGACCUGCCUUCGUGGUAUGGAUCUUGACCUGCCUUCGUGGUAUGGAUUUCGACAUGCCCUUGUGGUAUGGAUUUUGGGUAUGCACCUGUAGUGCGGAUUUUGAUUGUGGUCCGAAUGGUUGACAGUUGAUUGUACUAUGGAUGAGUGGUAUGGUUAUGAUUGAUGGUUCAUUGAAUCUCAUGGAUGUAUUUGUGUUGUAACGAUGUGUAGUUCCUGUUUCGCAAUGUUCUAAUGUUAUUAUUCUAUUUAAACCCACCAUGUUAUAUAUUGCAUGUAUUUAAUGAUUAACUCUCUCUAUGUUGUCUUGUUUACUCAAUCCGUGGUAAUCGGAUUGUAGUUGGAGCUAAGGAAUAGGAACCUUCAGAGUCUUGGAGUAAAUUAGCUUGCAUUGGUUUUGGCGUGUGAUUUCCGAGUUAUCUAGAGGAUUGUUUAAGUUGAUAUUGGACCCGUUUAUGAGAAUUGUUCAUUUAUGUUUUGAUGUUCUCUUAAUAGAUUUCAAAUGACUAGUGUUGUGGAAUUACUGUACUGUUAUUCCUUUUAUUGUUUCACUCAUACUAAUGGAGUGGUGUUGGU